rnacentral:rRNA from 1 species
GAUGAACGCUGGCGGCGUGCCUAAUACAUGCAAGUCGAGCGAACAGACGAGGAGCUUGCUCCUCUGACGUUAGCGGCGGACGGGUGAGUAACACGUGGAUAACCUACCUAUAAGACUGGGAUAACUUCGGGAAACCGGAGCUAAUACCGGAUAAUAUAUUGAACCGCAUGGUUCAAUAGUGAAAGACGGUUUUGCGGGCACUUAUCGAUGGAUCCGCGCCGCAUUAGCUAGUUGUUAAGGUAACGGGUUACGAAGGCAACGAUGCGUAGCCGACCUGAGAGGGUGAUCGCCCGCCCUGGAACGGAGACACGGUCCAGAGUACUGAGGGAGGCAGCAGUAGGCAAUCUUCCGCAGUGGGCGAAAGCCUGACGGAGCAACGCCGCGUGAGUGAUGAAGGUCUUCGGAUCGUGAAACUCUGUUAUUAGGGAAGAACAAAUGUGUAAGUAACUAUGCACGUCUUGACGGUACCUAAUCAGAAAGCCACGGCUAACUACGUG